GCAAGAAAUAGCUCAGUUGGUAGAGCAUGAGACUCUUAAUCUCAGGGUCAUAGGGUUGACCCCCAUGUUGGGCA